UAGGAUCCCCAGGUGUUCUAUAGGUGUUCUAUAGGAUCCCCAGGUGUUCUAUAGGAUCCCCAGGUGCUCUAUAGGUGCUCUAUAGGAUCCCCAGGUGCUCUAUAGGGUCCCCCAGGUGUCCCCCAGGUGCUCUAUAGGAUCCCCAGGUGUUCUAUAGGGUCCCCCAGGUGCUCUAUAGGAUCCCCCAGGUGUCCCCCAGGUGUUCCAUAGGAUCCCCAGGUGUCCCCAGGUGCUCUAUAGAUGUUCUAUAGGAUCCCCAGGUGCUCUAUAGGAUCCCCAGGUGUUCUGCAGGUGUUCUAUAGGGUCCCCCAGGUGUUCUGUAGGUGUUCUAUAGGAUCCCCAGGUGCUCUAUAGGUGUUCUAUAGGGUCCCCCAGGUGCUCUAUAGGAUCCCCAGGUGCUCUAUAGGGUCCCCCAGGUGUUCUAUAGGUGUUCUAUAGGGUCCCCCGGGUGCUCUAUAGGUGCUCUAUAGGAUCCCCAGGUGUUCUAUAGGGUCCCCCAGGUGCUCUAUAGGGUCCCCCAGGUGUUCUAUAGGGUCCCCCAGGUGUUCUAUAGGAUCCCCAGGUGCUCUAUAGGUGUUCUAUAGGAUCCCCAGGUGCUCUAUAGGGUCCCCCGGGUGUUCCAUAGGUGUUCUAUAGGUGCUCUAUAGAUGUUCUAUAGGGUCCCCCAGGUGUUCUAUAGGGUCCCCCAGGUGUCCCCAGGUGUCCCCAGGUGUUCUAUAGGGUCCCCAGGUGUCCCCAGGUGUGUUCCAGGUGUCCCCAGGUGUGUCCAGGUGUCCCCAGGUGUGUCCCCAGGUGUGUCUCAGGUGUCCCCAGGUGUCCCCAGGUGUGUUUUGGGUGUCCCCAGGUGUGUCCCAGGUGUGUUUUUGAUGUCCCCAGGUGUCCCCAGGUGUCCCCAGGUGUCCCCAGGUGUCCCCAGGUGUGUCCAGGUGUCCCCAGGUGUGUUUUUGAUGUCCCCAGGUGUGUCCAGGUGUGGUUUUGGCUCACCUGGCUGGCCUUUGUCCCCACGCUGGCCGCGAUCACCUCGCAGGCGGCCCCAGGUGUGUCUGUGUGUGUCCCCAGGUGUCCCCAGGUGUGUCUGUGUGUAUCUCAGGUGUCCCCAGGUGUCCCCAGGUGUCCCCAGGUGUGUACCAGGUGUGUUUUUGAUGUCCCCAGGUGUGUCCAGGUGUGUUUUUGGCUCACCUGGCUGGCCUUUGUCCCCACGCUGGCCGCGAUCACCUCGCAGGCGGCCCCAGGUGUG
rnacentral:lncRNA from 1 species